rnacentral:rRNA from 1 species
AUUGAACGCUGGCGGCAGGCCUAACACAUGCAAGUCGAGCGAGCGGCGGACGGGUGAGUAAUGUCUGGGAAACUGCCUGGUGGAGGGGGAUCACUACUGGAAACGGUAGCUAAUACCGCAUACCAUCAGAUGUGCCCCGAUGGGAUUAGCUAGUAGGUGGGGUAAUGGCUUACCUAGGCGACGAUCCCUAGCUGGUCUGAGAGGAUGACUCGCCACACUGGAACGGAGACACGGUCCAGACUCCUACGGGAGGCAGCAGUGGGGAAUAUUGCACAAGGGGCGCAAGCCGGAUACAGCCAUGCCGCGUGUAUGAAGAAGGCCUGCGGGUUGGAAAGUACUUUCAGCGGGGAGGCGGUACCCGAAGAAGAAGCACCGGCUAACUCCGUGCCAGCAGCCGCGGUAAUAC